GGGAACUCCACCUACUGCCUGUUGACCAAGCAUUAAAUAUUUUGGAGGUUCAAAAGCCUCUGAGCUUGUCAUAAUGGGCUUGCUUUCAGACCUCAAAAUCCCAGUACACCCUGAAACUAUGAUGCAGACAUUCAGAGGCAGCAGCACAAGAUUGCAGUUUUGGAAGUAAGUCACAUGAUAAAAUGGACUCGGUGUGGAGCUACCAUUUUUGGGUGAUACAGGCAACAGCAGAGGCAUCACCUUUCCACAACAGCAGUGACAGACGUGGCCCCGUAGUGGCUGCAGAAUCAAAAUUCCUAUCCCAGAACUGGCAGCAGCUAGACAGCUUAGUGGUGGAAGACUGACAGUUCUCAUAUAUGAUUUGAGGCAUAUUACUUGGAAGCUUAUCCUUAAGCCUGGCUCUCCAGCCUUCCUAAAAAUUCUGUGAAGCACCAAAUAUAUUUAAGUAAAUUUCCUAUGUGCUCAACCAGCCAGUAAACAACUUCUGCUGACUGAAAACACUGAAUCGUCCAAUCAUGAAGCCAAAAGAAUGUGGCUGUAUAACAAGAAAAAUAAAUCCAUGUAUCUACAGUAUGGAGUUAAAGUGCCAAGAAAAGUUGUCAAGGUAACUCUUGAUAGGUAAAGGUGAAGCAGAAUUAUACACAUCUUCAAACGCUCUGCUAAGUAAAGAGCCUGGCCUUCAUUCAGCAUGAAAUGUGGUAUCACUGAGCUUCCAAACAAAGGAGUGAAUGAUAUGAUCAAAAAAAUUGUACUUAAGAUGACUGAUUAUUCUGACAGCAGAGUUGCCAAUGGAUUAAAGCAAAACAACUGGCAAACACAGUGAUUAACAGACUAUUCUGCACUGAGCAAAGAAUUACCCAUCUGGGAUAUCAUUCUCCUCCGGGAAAGGGUCUCCAAUCACCUCUCAUAAGGAGACAUGUCCUGCUGCCUCACUGCGGUGGCCUCAGGGGUAAGGAAUCAGAACCCACCCAGUGUGAAGAAUAAACCUGGACUCUCGGCAACACAGGAAGAAAAAGCCUACAGUACAGAUACCACGGCGACAAGGACUCAAGGCCUCCUAGCGAGAUUACAUCCUUGUCAAAGGUUGGAAAGAGGGAAAGCUCAAACCCACCUGGGAAGGACCUUACCUGGUACUCCUAACAACUGAAAUAGCACUCCGGAAAGCCGAAAAAGGGUGAACCCACCACACAAGUGAAGAAGGCCCCACCUCUGGCAAAGUCAUGGACCAUCACUCCAGGACCAACAGCCUCAAAACUAACAUUCAAACGGGUUUGUCUUUUUCUUCUCCCCUUAGCUACUCAAGGAUAUCUUACUGUUAAUGUAACUAUGCUUGUCUAGUCUUACCUUGUGGAGAUCUCCAAAGUCAAAGACAGUUAGCUUGUACAGAAAAGUACUUCUGCCCCUCUGUGGAAAGAGUUAAUACUCCUGUGUCUUGCAUAUGGGGGGAAUCCUCAGAGGAAGAGUUAGGCAAUUGGGGGUUAUGGUCUCAGUGGGCAGUUUUAGGGCACUGCCCUAAAACCAUACCUACACUUCACCAAAGGGGCCACCCCUUCUGACUGUCAAUCUAAUCAUUGCAAUCCAGUACUUAUCCAUUGUAAAAAUUAAAGAUCUAAAGCAAACCAUAGCCAUUGAAACACGGUACCAAGAUGCAAAUGCCUGGCUGGAAUAGAUUAAAUAUUCCAUCUGCACGCUAAACAAAAGCGAUUGUUACGCUUGUGCGACAGGUAGGCCAGAAACCCAAACUGUCCCCUUUCCACUUGAUUGAUCCUCUGAUCAACCGGGCAUGAACUGUAUGGUAGCCCUCUUCCAAAAUCCCACAGCCUGGGGCAGUAAGGCAUGUCAAACCCUCUUGCUGCUAUUCCUAGAAGUGAAAAGCCCUGCAGGUCGGCCCCUGAGGGCUAUCCAACCCCGUACUACAAAUAUCAAUUUCACCUCGUGUCUCUCACGGCAAGGGGAAAAUUUGGCAUUCCUUGGGAGUCUAAUGGGAUGCAGUGAAUCUAAGCCUUUUCAACAGCUAACCAAUCAGUCUGCCCUUGUUCAUCCCCAAGCAGAUGUAUGGUGGUAUUGCAGUGGACCACUAUUGGAUACUCUGCCAAGUAACUGGAGCGGCACUUGCGCUCUAAUCCAAUUGGCAAUCCCUUUCACUCUGGCAUUUCAUCAACUAAGCAAAAAGGACAAUCGUGAAAAAAGAAGUACCCCCCACGGGUCCUUUGACCCUCACAUUUAUAUAGAUGCCAUCAGAGUUCCACAAGGGGUGCCAAAUGAAUUUAAAGCCCAAAAUCAAAUCGCUGCAGGAUUUGAAUCUGUAUUGUUCUCGUGGGUAACUAUAAAGAAAAAUGUAAACUGGAUAAAUUACAUUUACCAUAAUCAACAGCAGUUUGUCAGUUAUACUAGGAAUGCCAUUAAAGGAACAGCUGAACAAUUAAGUUCUACCAGCCAGAUGGCCUGGGAAAACAGAAUAGCCCUGAACAAAAUAUUAGCUGAAAAAGGUGGGGUCUGUGUCAUAAUUGGGGCCCAAUGCUUACAGAGCCUUAACACCCUAGCAAAUGAAUUAGCCAAAAAUUCUAAAAUAGAAUUCUAGAAUUCUUCUCUAGUCUCACGGAAAAAUGGUUUAGAAAAUGGAAGGGACUCAUAACCUUUACUCCCCUUGCAAUUAUUAUAGGUGUACUCAUUCUUGUAGGUUGCUGCAUCAUACCUUGUAUUCGUGGAUUAGUGCAAAGGCUUAUAGAAAAAGCCUUCACCAAAACCCCUCAUGAUUCUCCCCUGCCCUACUCACAUAAGUUCGUACUCCUAAAUGACCAAGAGGAACAACAAAUCUAAAAUAUGUUAAAGAAAUUUGAAGGGGAAGAACUAUAAAAUCAAGAGAGGGAAACUGUUAAGGACAGUAAGUUCCUCUUCAAAGUUCCCUUGGUCUCUUGCUCUGUACACAGCCCUUCCUGCUUGAUCUGUAACGAGCACUUGUUCCUCAGCUUAAUCUGUAACUAGCAAACCUCUUACUCCGUAAACAUCUCUGUCACACCCAGACAUGUCCAAACACCCCUUAAACUUAUUCUGUAGGCAACUCUUCCCACCUUAGCAACAGACAGUCUCUCCCUCCCCUCCUCUCUUAGCAAACUGCGUGUUCACCAUAUUUAGAAAGGUUUAAGUCUUAGCCAAUUGGGUUAAUUUAGAUUGUUUGGUCCAACCCUAGCCAAUGGGGAAAGGACACAGAAACAGGAACUGUGUUAGGAAUAAAAACCCUUUGGCCGGGAGCGGUGGCUCACGCCUGUAAUCCCAGCACUUUGGGAGGCUGAGGCGGGCGGAUCACGAGGUCAGGAGAUUGAGACCAUCCCAGCCAACAUGGUGAAACUUGUCUCUACUAAAAAUACAAAAAUUAGCUGGGCGUGGUGGUGGGCGCCUGUAAUCCCAGCUACUCAGGAGGCUGAGGCAGGAGAAUGACUUGAACCCAGGAGGCGGACGUUGCCAUGAGCCGAGACCGCGCCACUGCACUCCAGCCUGGUGACCGGGCAAGACUCCAUCUCAAAAAAAAUAAAUAAAUAAAAAUCCUCUCUUUUGUUCGGUGUGCUCUCGCGAGCGUGACUGAUGCAGGCAGCACCCUUCUGUAGAAGUAAAUUGCCUUGCUGAGAAAA